rnacentral:lncRNA from 1 species
GUAGACCAAUGGUAUAAAAUACAGAAUAAAGAAAUAUAGCUACACACUUAUAACUACCUGAUCUAUAAAAUUUUAGAACAUCCUCAAAAAAGGAAGAAGCAAUCAGGAUAUUUGUUUUCACCAAGUAUCUUAGACAUGGGAUAAGAUUAUGGAGGUUAACUAUUCAGGAUAUUUGCUUGAUUAAAUCAUAUGGAAGAGUAAGCCAUUUCAAAAAAAAAUCUAGAUAUAUACACACUUAUUUUCACUGCUACAAUUUUAGCUCUAUU